GAUGAACGCUGGCGGCGUGCCUAAUUCAUGCAAGUCGAGCGAAUGGAUUAAGAGCUUGCUCUUAUGAAGUUAGCGGCGGACGGGUGAGUAACACGUGGGUAACUUGCCCAUAAGACUGGGAUAACUCCGGGAAACCGGGGCUAAUACCGGAUAAUAUUUUGAACUGCAUGGUUCAAAAUUGAAAGGCGGCUUCGGCUGUCACUUAUGGAUGGACCCGCGUCGCAUUAGCUAGUUGGUGAGGUAACGGCUCACCAAGGCAACGAUGCGUAGCCGACCUGAGAGGGUGAUCGGCCACACUGGGACUGAGACACGGCCCAGACUCCUACGGGAGGCAGCAGUAGGGAAUCUUCCGCAAUGGACGAAAGUCUGACGGAGCAACGCCGCGUGAGUGAUGAAGGCUUUCGGGUCGUAAAACUCUGUUGUUAGGGAAGAACAAGUGCUAGUUGAAUAAGCUGGCACCUUGACGGUACCUAACCAGAAAGCCACGGCUAACUACGUGCCAGCAGCCGCCGUAA
rnacentral:rRNA from 1 species